GCAUGCCCGGACAGCCGUUGGCUGUCCGGGCAUGCUGGGAGCUGUAGUUUUGCAACAGCUGGAGGCACCCUGGUUGGGAAACUCUGGCCUGGAGUCUUGAAAGAUAAAGGUAGGGAAUCCAUCACCAGAAAGAAGCACUGUAGGUGGCGGUGCCAGGCGGCGACACUUUUGUUUUUAACUUGUGCAUAUAGCAGUAUUGUGUAACCACUGUGCAAGGCCUCUCCUGCCGGGGCGGUUGCUAUGGGUUACAGCACAUGUUCUGCUUAUACUGCCUUUUUAUUGAUAUGAAUUUAAUCUGGGCCAGGAUCACGAUAUAGACAAGUAUUUUACCACGAUCCGCGUUCUCUGCAGCCAAAGAAACACAAUUUACUGAGCCAAAAUCCCAUACGCUUCAGAAGCCUCCACAAGUCUUCACUAGGGUCCAGAACACUCGUGCAAACAGCGGGAUCGGGCCACUAUGGUGCAGAACACACACUCGUGCAAGCAGCGUAUUGCCGCUCCGAGCAGGCACAUGUAAAGGCAGCACACAGCGGUACUUCAGCGGCGGAUCCGCAGCUAAAUACGCCUGGAAAAUCCGCUCGUCUGAACGUGCAGUGUUUCCCAACCAGUGUGCCUCCAGCUGUUGGAAAACUACAACUCCCAGAAUGGCAGGACGGUCCCGGCAUUCUGGGAGUUGUAGUUUGGCAACUGCAUGAGGCACACUGCCUUAAUGUUUAGGCUGCUUAAAAAUAUGUCAGGUUUUUUUAAGGGCUUUUCCCAAGAUUACCAAUAAAGAAGAACACUUUGGUUAUGACAACCAUUUUUUUUAAUCAGUUGUGCUCAGACCCUGAGUGAUCACAAGAACGGCCGUACGCCUCUCUCCCUGCUCUGUAAGAGCAAGAUGACCCCAUAGACUUGCAUUAGAAGACUGUCUGAUGCCCCCCCCACCCCCCCCCCAUUAUGACAAUAGGGAUCUCAUGAGGACUAGAGCAGCAGCCAUUUACAUUUACUCUCUAGGACCGCUGAAGAGACUCUUGUCAGUCCCAUAGAGGGUUAAUAAAUUGGCAGUGUGUAUGGAUGACGGCUGUUCUUCACAAUGGGGGGGGGGGGGGGGGGAUAUGAGGCCCCUGUUUGUGAUUAGUGGGGGUCUCAAUGGUCCUUCUGCCACCAAUCAAAGACUUAUUCCCUACGCUGUGUUCAAGGUGUAUUCUUUGGAUAACCCCCUUAAAUCAGUAAAGGGGUACUCCGCUACUACGCUGGAGCCGGGAGCUCGUGACGUCAUAGCCCCACCCCCUCAUUAAGUCAUGCCCUGCUCCUCAAUGCAAAACUUUCAUUGAGGGGGUGGGGACAUCAUGAGGGGGCGGGGCUAUGGCAUCACGAGCUCCCUGCGCCGGCUCCUGGGUUCGGAACAGUUUGUUCCAAACGCUGAGGAGCAGACUACCCCUUUAACUUGGUACAGUCUUGUGUCUGUACUGUCUGGCAGACUGUCCACAGCGUCUACCAUGAGGGGAAACCAUUCAUAGAAAUUGGAUUUUAACCCUUCGGAUAGUGUGCAUGCCAGGCUAUCCUAUUCUUGGCAUAGGCAUCUUUGGUUGAGGUCAUGGCAUAUGAUCCAUGGGUAUUCAGAGUUGGUAGGUAAUACCCACCUUAGUGCAUAGAACAGAGGCCUUCAGCCUGGACUGGAAAUGUGUGGAUAAGUGAGAUCCAGAGCAGACCCUUGGCUUUCUGUCAUGUCAUCUAAAGCGGUGGCCUCCAAACUGUGGACAUCCUGUUGGGGCAAAACUGCAACUCCCAGCAAGCUCAUAGUUUUGUAUCAUUUGGAGGUCCACAGAUUAAAGACCACUGCUCUAAGGGGUACAAAUGCAUGGAAGUGAAUGGGGUCACGUUGCGACCUACAAAUAGCCACAACCUGGCAGCUGCAAAGAAAUCUCUCAGGACUGUCGGGAUACAGUUGCGGCCACUUUUAAGUCACAUCGUGACCCAA